AGAAUUUUAAGUUAUUCAAACUAAAAGCCUUCAAAGUUUUAAAAAAAAGUUUUAAUCUUUUAAAUUCUA
rnacentral:tRNA from 1 species